rnacentral:lncRNA from 1 species
GACAUGACCUGUCCUGAUAUCAUCCGGAGUGAGGUACACCCCUGCCACAUGAGCGAGCGCUUGGUGCUCGGCUCAGCGUACGUGGGGAAGAACUCGGGCGCAUCAACCCGAAGCUGUGGUAGAGGGGAUUCAGCACCUUCCACCAUCACCGCUUUUUGUUUCUCUACCGCGGAGGCCUUAUAUGCUGCGCUAGCGUGUUUGAAGUAGGCUUGUAUGAGCCUACCCCUGACGUGUCAUGGAGAGCCUUGCUUGGUGCGCCCACCUUCAGUUUCGAAGGAGUGAGAGGCACCGCGACUUUGGUCGAUGUAGUCCAUGAAUCUGGUUCAUGUCUUGUUGGAGUAACCGGAGAUGAAGCAGAUCGCGCCGAUGAAAUUA